rnacentral:pre_miRNA from 1 species
UGAUGAUGAAGAGGGUGAUGUUGGUGGUGGCGGUGAUGAUGAUGAUGAUGAUGAUUACGAUAAAGAUAAUUAUAUUAAGAAGAUGGUCUCAGCAAAAGUAUAAAACUUUCAAACAGAAUUAUUAUCAUCAUCAUUAUCACCAUCAUCAUCAUCAUACUCA